rnacentral:ncRNA from 1 species
AAUGAUAGAGGCGCAGGAUUCAUAAGUACCGAACAGCUACGGCAGGGCAGCUGCUGUGAGGGAAAGGGGAUACUGCCGAAGGGUAAGCGUGACGCCCAUUCACCAUCCCUGGGAUAUUGUAAAAUAUGCAAUAUACUGUCACGUUUGUGGAGCGCUAUC